UUUGGUGGCGAUAGCGAAGAGGUCACACCCGUUCCCAUUCCGAACACGGCAGUUAAGCUCUUCAGCGCCAAUGGUAGUUGGGGGUUUCCCCCUGUGAGAGUAGGACGCCGCCAAGC
rnacentral:rRNA from 20 species